rnacentral:rRNA from 1 species
UACGUAGGGGGCUAGCGUUGUUCGGAAUUAUUGGGCGUAAAGGGCUCGUAGGCGGCGUUUUGCGUCGGGGGUGAAAUCCUGGAGCUCAACUCCAGAACUGCCUUUGAUACUGAGGAGCUUGAGUUCGGGAGAGGUGAGUGGAACUGCGAGUGUAGAGGUGAAAUUCGUAGAUAUUCGCAAGAACACCAGUGGCGAAGGCGGCUCACUGGCCCGAUACUGACGCUGAGGCACGAAAGCGUGGGGAGCAAACAGG